CCUGCCCCCAGAGAAACUGCAGGUGUGGCUGGUAUGUCACAUGUAACUAAGUAAGUAGCAGAAAGGAGAAAGGCUAUGUCUAUGCUCAGUGUUUCCUAUAAACAUCCGAACGAACAACAGCUUAACAUC
ensembl:snoRNA Gm25610 predicted gene, 25610